rnacentral:tmRNA from 1 species
GGGGGCGCACUGGUUUCGACGGGGAUGAAUGAAGCCAAGGCUGCAGGUCGAGGCGCCGCUGGCCUCGUAAAAAGCGGCACAAUCAUAAUUGCAAACGACAAUUACGAUUACGCAUUAGCAGCUUAAUUUAAGCUGCUGUGUCAUAGCUUUGAUGUCUGAUAUCUGCUGUGGCAACAAAACCCAUCAGGCUGGCUAGUUUCCGGUUGCACGUCCCGGAAGCGGCGAGAACCUAGCACGAGCUGGCCCACAUGUUGCCCGUUCAGGGGCGUUCAUGAGGGCGAGAAACAAUACCUGAACUACACCUGUAGACGUCUUGGUGGAGCAUUCUCGGACGGGGGUUCGAUUCCCCCCGCCUCCACCA